GACGAACGCUGGCGGCGUGCUUAACACAUGCAAGUCGAACGGUGAAGCGCCUUCCUUUUUGGUGGGUGUGGAUGAGUGGCGAACGGGUGAGUAACACGUGAGUAACCUGCCCCCUUCUUCUGGAUAACCGCAUGAAAGUGUGGCUAAUACGGGAUAUUCUGGGUCUGUCGCAUGAUGGGUCUGGGAAAGAUAUUGUUUCGGUGGGGGAUGGGCUCGCGGCCUAUCAGCUUGUUGGUGGGGUGAUGGCCUACCAAGGCGGUGACGGGUAGCCGGCCUGAGAGGGUGGACGGUCACACUGGGGCUGAGACACGGCCCAGACUCCUACGGGAGGCAGCAGUGGGGAAUAUUGCACAAUGGGCGGAAGCCUGAUGCAGCGACGCCGCGUGAGGGAUGGAGGCCUUCGGGUUGUGAACCUCUUUCGCCAGUGAAGCAGGCCUGCCUCGUUUGUGGGUGGGUUGACGGUAGCUGGAUAAGAAGCGCCGGCUAACUACGUG
rnacentral:rRNA from 1 species